AGUGAACGCUGGCGGUAGGCCCAACACAUGCAAGUCGAACGGCAGCACAGUAAGAGCUUGCUCUUACGGGUGGCGAGUGGCGGACGGGUGAGGAAUACAUCGGAAUCUACUUUUUCGUGGGGGAUAACGUAGGGAAACUUACGCUAAUACCGCAUACGACCUACGGGUGAAAGCAGGGGAUCUUCGGACCUUGCGCGAUUGAAUGAGCCGAUGUCGGAUUAGCUAGUUGGCGGGGUAAAGGCCCACCAAGGCGACGAUCCGUAGCUGGUCUGAGAGGAUGAUCAGCCACACUGGAACUGAGACACGGUCCAGACUCCUACGGGAGGCAGCAGUGGGGAAUAUUGGACAAUGGGCGCAAGCCUGAUCCAGCCAUACCGCGUGGGUGAAGAAGACCUUCGGGUUGUAAAGCCCUUUUGUUGGGAAAGAAAAGCAGCAGGUUAAUACCCCGCUGUUCUGACGGUACCCAAAGAAUAAGCACCGGCUAACUUCGUG
rnacentral:rRNA from 1 species